CCUACGGGAGGCUGCAGUGAGGAAUAUUGGUCAAUGGACGCAAGUCUGAACCAGCCAUGCCGCGUGCAGGAAGACGGCUCUAUGAGUUGUAAACUGCUUUUAUACGGGAAUAACGCGCCUUACGUGUAGGGCUUUGCAUGUACCGUAUGAAUAAGGACCGGCUAAUUCCGUGCCAGCAGCCGCGGUAAUACGGAAGGUCCGGGCGUUAUCCGGAUUUAUUGGGUUUAAAGGGAGCGUAGGCCGCAUGUCAAGCGUGCUGUGAAAUGUCCGGGCUCAACCCGGGCCUUGCAGCGCGAACUGGCGGGCUUGAGUCCGCGGAAGGCAGGCGGAAUUCGUCGUGUAGCGGUGAAAUGCUUAGAUAUGACGAAGAACCCCGAUUGCGAAGGCAGCUUGCUGCAGCGGAACUGACGCUGAUGCUCGAAAGCGCGGGUAUCGAACAGGAUUAGAUACCCCGGUAGUC
rnacentral:rRNA from 1 species